UUCAAAUGAUUUUUUUUUGAAAAAUUCAAAAGUGAAAAAAAAGUGAGAGGGCAAACGUUCUUGAAAAUUGGUAUUUCAAGAAGCAAGAAGCAUGAAACAAUGGAAUUUGAAUGAUGAUUUUUUUUUUAAAUCAAAGAAGGAAAGCAGAAAAGCAAACGGCCCUAGCGAAACAAGGGCAAAGCUUUCAAAAAUCGGUCCUUAUUUCAAGAGGUAUACGAUGGUUUUUGCUGAUGUUUUCCUUGAAAAAGUAAUUUUCAGAUGUCACACAAUUAUUGAACUGAUUUGCAUUUUCCUAAAAAACCAGACUUUUCGACUUUUCAUGAUUUUCAUUUUUUUUUUUUCAAGCAUGUGAUGACGAUAGUGUUUUUUUAAAGUCUGCUUUUUUACACAAAUAUGAAUUCUGCUUAGGGGCCAAUUCUGAGUUGGGGGAGGGGGCACGUCCCCCCGUUGCGGCGCCUAUGUUCAGAUGCAAUUACGUGAGCAGGCGAAAACGAGCAGAAUUUUGUGAAUUUCAGCUUUUUGUUCGUGUUGAUUUCAAAUUGGUUCUUAGGCGUUGAAUUGUAAUAGGUACAUUUUUUUCGUGAUGAUUUCAAAAUGAUUUUUCAUAAUGAUUUUUCAUAAUGAUUCAUGUAGAAUAAAGUGAUCAGUGAUGAAAAUCGUCAGGAAUUUUUUUCAUGAAAAUAUCACGACGAUGUACUUGAAACACAAUGUUGAUGCGUUACGUAUCAACACACUUAUGUACGAGUAUCAUGAUACAAUGCUGUGGGUAUUGACAUAAGGCAUUAUUGUAGGCAUUAGGCACUAGGUGUAGGUACUACAUACCUGCCUGGUUAUAAAUCACGUCAAAAAGUACGGUACGAAUGUUUGGUUUCAGUAUUCUUCGAUUCACGCGAGUGUUGGAUUUGUAAAUAUGGAUUUCUUGAUGCGUAGCUCGCACAGGCUUUAUUAAAACACUGUGGUACUGGUUGAAUUUUUCCGUUGAUCGUAAAAUGCGUCAUUCAAAUACCUAUUCAAGUUGACGAAUAAUUCACCAGAUGUCUGUAAAUUAUGAUAUUGUUUUUCGGGGUACUUUUUUGAAACGAUCACUAUAUAUAAUUCAAAAUCCGAAGAAAAGGAAUCAGUAUUCGGUUUAACGUAUAGGUAGUGGCAUUAAUCAACGCGUUGAUAAUACAUAUCUGAAGCAUUACAGUAAUAAUUUUUAAAGAAUCGAUUUUGAAGAUACUUUAUACGUACAAUGCUGGCCAUUAAAACCUAUUUUUUCAUGCUAUUGGUCGUAGUAUUACAAUUUUAUGCUGUUAAAUAUACUGUUGUUGUUGCUCCAGGCGGUAUCUUUGGCUCAGUCUGGACUGAUCCCACCGGUUACGAUGCUGAUACUGAGAAAAAAUAGAUAUAUAGGAAAAAAUCGGUAUGUCAACUUUUUCUUAUAAAUUUACACACCUUUAUUUUUUUACAAAAAUAAACAUUAUAAUUGUCAGCAUGAUUAUAUUAAUAAUACUCAUAAUUGAUGUACUUGUGGCACCAUUUUAUAUACUUCACACACGUUCAGGCACCAAAAUUUACGUUGUGGUACCACCAAAUGGUGCCACAACGUAUUUCAUUUAAAAUCAUGUGGAAUGACAUCAGGGCACUGCCAGGGGUCGUUAGGCAAAUUUUUGUAAUGGUGCCACAACGACAUUUAAAAGUCCCCUUCAAUAUACUGGUAAAAUUAUAUAGUCAACAGACGUUGUGGCACCAUUUUCAAGUCUCAUUGGUUUUCGAUGUAUUCUUUUGUAAAAAUUUGUUGUAAAAUGUUUCAAUUAGAUGGCGUUGUUGCUUAUACCCUUAAUCGUCACUCUAUACUCAUAUAAUAUAGAGGCACCAGUUGGUUUUUAUUAAUGAAUAAACCGUUGCCAGAAAAACGCUCGUGUAAAUGACUAAGUUUUCUUCACUUGCUACCUGGUGCCACAACGACGUUCAACUAAAUGGUGCCAUAACGUUACAAAAGUAGAUAUUUAUAAUUAUGAUGUUUAUAAUUAUUAUUAUUAUAAGAAAAAUAAUCUGAAGAAGCUUUUUAACUCGUAGUUCAAAAAUAAAUUACCUACUAUUUUUUCUUCAAAAUAACCAAAGCAAUUUUAUUUUCUAAUAAAUUAAUUACAAUUUAAGUAGAUAUUUAUUUAUUCAUUUUUUAGAAUCAACUAUCUAACUAAUUUAAU